AGAGUUUGAUCCUGGCUCAGGACGAACGCUGGCGGCGUGCUUAACACAUGCAAGUCGAACGAGGUCCAACCAGUCGCAAGACCGGGGACGACCGAGUGGCGAACGGGUGAGUAUCACGUGAGAAACCUGUCCCGGUCUCUGGAAUAACAGUCGGAAACGAUUGCUAAUACCGGAUACCGUCGGAGGGCCGCAUGGCCCGCUGACGAAAGGGUUACCGGAUCGGGAGGGUCUCGCGGCCUAUCAGCUUGUUGGUGAGGUAACGGCUCACCAAGGCAUCGACGGGUAGCUGGUCUGAGAGGAUGAUCAGCCACACUGGGACUGAGACACGGCCCAGACUCCUACGGGAGGCAGCAGUGGGGAAUCUUGCACAAUGGGCGAAAGCCUGAUGCAGCAACGCCGCGUGCGGGAUGAAGGCCUUAGGGUUGUAAACCGCUUUCAGCAGGGAAGAAACUGACGGUACCUGCAGAAGAAGGUGCGGCCAACUACGUGCCAGCAGCCGCGGUGACACGUAGGCACCAAGCGUUGUCCGGAUUUAUUGGGCGUAAAGAGCUCGUAGGCGGUUCGGUAAGUCGGGUGUGAAAACUCUGGGCUCAACCCAGAGAGGCCACUCGAUACUGUCGUGACUAGAGUGCGGUAGGGGAGCGGGGAAUUCCUGGUGUAGCGGUGAAAUGCGCAGAUAUCAGGAGGAACACCAGUGGCGAAGGCGCCGCUCUGGGCCGUAACUGACGCUGAGGAGCGAAAGCAUGGGUAGCAAACAGGAUUAGAUACCCUGGUAGUCCAUGCCGUAAACGUUGGGCACUAGGUGUGGGUCUCAACCAACGAGAUCCGCGCCGUCGCUAACGCAUUAAGUGCCCCGCCUGGGGAGUACGGCCGCAAGGCU
rnacentral:rRNA from 1 species